ACACAGCCAAACAGGAAAUACAUCAAAUUCCGCGGGGAGUGAGCGCCGCUCCCGUCACGUCGGUGGGCCUGUCAAUCAAUCGCAGCAGCACAAUACUUUGUUAAAGCGCAUACGUCACUGUGGGCAUCGCGUGAUCUCCGGAAAUUCAAAUUCCGUAGCAGUUAAAAUGUUUCCCCGCUGUGUUUGUAUUUUUUCAACAGUCGGUGGUUUGGACAACGCUGCUCCUCUUAAAGUUGUAGUUGUAUUAAAGUUUCUUUCCCUACAGACUCCAAAGUUAUAAAACUGAGGGGGAAAUGAUGCAGGUGCGUGCCCAUCAUGAUUGUAGGGAACUGCUGCUCUGUAUGAAACAUCAGAAGUAGAGGAGGCGGAGGAGAUGACCGUUAGAAGACGUGUCGAAAGGGGGAGACGGGGUUUUAAAAUGAUGCUCUAUGGACGCCCGAAUGAGCUCGUUUUCAGAUCGAGCUCCAUCGCUGCUAACCAGAUGCACCUGCGGGAAAACAGAAAAAAAAACUCAAGUACUGGACAACAGGAGAACAAUGAGUCUGACAUCUGAGACGAGCGGCUCUUGGCUGUCCGUAUGGGGCUAGAGAAAAUCUGUUCAUGAUUAUAAAGAAAUAAAGCCCACAGUUACUCUUCAGCUUAAAAGAAGGAAAUGUGCUCUGAAGACCAGCCUUUCAUUCGGUGAGCCGUUAAAAGGCUUGGCUUCCAGACAAGAAUAUGAAUGCUGUUUUGAAGUUGUCUUGGACACAAACUGAAUUCCUCCGAUCAAAGUGAGUUUCCAACACAUUAAAGCUGAUUAAAAAGCAAUGCUGAGAUUAAUAAUCAUAAAAAGCCAAAGGAAAUAAACAAACAGAAGUCUUAAGCUCCACAGAAUAAUUAUACAAUUAAAUUCUAACAAAGGAAUGACAAUUAUGACUGAAUUAGUUAGCACAGCGAAUUUGAACUGUACAUGCACCAAUUACAUGCAUUUCAACUUGCAAAUGAUCUGUAUUGAAAGAAAUACAAUAAAGCAUUGAUAGUUUGAACUUAAGUUAUGACACCUUGUACAAGCUUGCGUGUGGGGGCAAUCACUGAUGGAUACAUCUGCCUUGUUUUGGGUUUAAUCCUGACAACCGUUUCUUUUGAAUGCCUUUCAUCAUAUUACCUACACCAUCGCCAGAACGCAUAUACACAGGUGUUGAAGGAUAACCAUAACAGUGUUGGCUGCAAUAGCCACUAUACUGACAAAGGCAGAAGGUCAUUAAAUGGGUCAAAAAAAAGAAAAAUAAUUUAGGAUAGUAUAACUUAGAAAGUUUACUGAACAAUUCAACAAUGAUGCUUUCCAGAGUUGAUCAGAGCAACAAUUUUUGUUUGUGUAAUGAGCACUGGCGCUGCUUCUAUUAUUACUAUUAUAUUACUCUGCUAA